CCUACGGGUGGCUGCAGUGAGGAAUAUUGGUCAAUGGACGAGAGUCUGAACCAGCCAAGUAGCGUGAAGGAUGACUGCCCUAUGGGUUGUAAACUUCUUUUAUAUGGGAAUAAAACGUUCCACGUGUGGGAUUUUGUAUGUACUAUAUGAAUAAGGAUCGGCUAACUCCGUGCCAGCAGCCGCGGUAAUACGGAGGAUCCGAGCGUUAUCCGGAUUUAUUGGGUUUAAAGGGAGCGUAGGUGGAUUUUUAAGUCAGUUGUGAAAGUUUUCGGCUCAACCGUAAAAUUGCAGUUGAAACUGGCAGUCUUGAGUACAGUAGAGGUGGGCGGAAUUCGUGGUGUAGCGGUGAAAUGCUUAGAUAUCACGAAGAACUCCGAUUGCGAAGGCAGUUCACUGGACUGCAACUGACACUGAGGCUCGAAAGUGUGGGUAUCAAACAGGAUUAGAUACCCCUGUAGUC
rnacentral:rRNA from 1 species